CUGCAGUUGCUUCUCAAGGAGACAGCCUGUGACUCAUUUUGUGAAAUGGCGGCUAAAGCUUCAUUUUUGGAAGAGGAGUUAUGUUGUUCUGUGUGCUGCGAGAUUUUCAAGGACCCUGUCGUCUUGGAGUGCAGUCACAGUUUCUGUAGAGUCUGUUUGCAGCAUUGCUGGGGGGAGAACAGUCCUCGGGAGUGUCCCAUCUGCAGGAGCAAGGCCUCUACAGGCCACCCUCCCAUUAACCUGGCUUUAAAAAACAUUGUGGAGUCCUACUUAAAGCAGAAGACCGAGUGUGAGGCUGCAGAGGCAAGUGAAGGCCAGUGUCCCCUUCACAGAAAGGAACUUCUGUUCUUCUGUGAGGAUGAUUUGCAGCCUCUCUGUAUUGUGUGUCAGACUUCAAAACAACACAGAAAUCACCAGAUUUGUCCAAUGGAAGAGGCUGUUCCGGAUCUGAAGGAUGGACUCGUGACGGCAUUAAUUCCUAUUAAAGAGAAGUUAGAGAUGUACACUGAAGUUACACAAAAGUGUGAAAAAAUCAUAAAACACAUCAGGACCCUUUUCUACUUGAGUGGGACCUGCAUGCUGGCUGCAAAAGA